AGAUGGGCACGUCACCGGCGGAGCCAUGGCCACAUCACCUUGAAGCUUCUUCGGCCACUGCGAACUCGCCCUCUGUUCUCCUGGCCAUGGAAUUUGUGAUCGAUGACCUGUCCACCGUCGCGCGUGGGUGGUUCGCUGAACUCCAUAGGCGGGUCCAAACCCAACGCCGUCUCCAUCUGCGCCUCCCUCGCCAACGUGUUCGCCGACUUCGACCACUGGAUCCGCCCUCAAAAGGUGAGAGAUCCUCCUUCAUGUCCGCCAGGCUUCCCACGUCGUGUAGCACUCGUCGCGUUAGGAUUUAUGCAGAGAAGAGUGAUUGGGGGGUUGUCGGCGGGUGUACGGCGGCGCUUCGCCGCCGUCGGACUCGCCCAGCUCUGUAUGGAGGAUGGCGACGACCCUGGCAUCGUUGGAUUGAAAAAGGGUGGUCACGAUUAAAGUUAGUAGUAACCUGUUGGCCCCUCCGAUCCUAGCCGCCGAUCAAGCCGCCAACGACCAAGAUUAGACGGCCCUGUACCGUUUCAUCCGGGCGAUCUUGGGCCGUUGGAUCGAAAUCCAGUGACCCCGGGUGCGUACCGAUUCAUCAUUUAAUCUGGGCCGUCUAUUGUAAUCUGUGCGGCCGAGAUCCCACAAUACCCUUUCGGCUGCGUAAUAUUGCAAAAGAGUCCCUGAUUAGUUUAAAAAUAAACCCGCCAUCCUAUGCGGCUGUACACUGAGUCUUGAAAUAUUUGCGACGUAGUCCCUGUGUUUUCUGUAAAUGGUGCGCUCGGUCCAGAGAGCAGGAAAUCAAAGGAAUUCAUUUAGAAAAUACAUUUUUUUUGUGAGAAUAAUUAUAGAAACUUAAUUAAUUCCUAGAAAAUGCAUUUUAACUCCUUUUAAUCUAUCCCAGUCCCUAUAAUUUUGUAUUAAUAUUGUUUAAUACUUAGUGUCUCUGUUUUAACACGAAAAUGGUAUUAAAAUUUAUUUCUUAGCUAAUCUCGUAUCAAAUACAUAAAACCUUAGGAAAUUUGUAUCUCCUCCAUUUUAACUCCGAUUUGAUCCGUUCAAGUUCCGUUAGUCUCGUAGCAACGCGUAGAUUAUUAUUAUGCAGUUUCUCUUAUGUUUGAUGUAAUGUUAAUUUUGUCUAUACCGUAUCUGUUUGUAUUGCUACGACUAGCAGCGAGGUUUCGAGUCACCUGAAGAUCACCCUGGUAACUGGAAUCUCAAGUGCCAGGCAAGUUGUGCCCUUGAUCACUUACUUUUCCCAGCCAUGUUCUUAUUAAUUAUAAUGAUCUGCAUAGGUUAAUUUUGAUGGGACCUAAUAGGUUACCCUAGUUUUGGCUAUCUUUAUACCUUGUUUACCACUGAAAUAUUUUUGGGUAGUACCUGCUAUUGCUUUAUGUGGAUCUGGGUAUGAAGAUACUUUAUUCAUAAUUACUCUUUUAUUCUCUUUUAUUAUUACUGUUCAUGUUAAGAUCAUUAUGUUAAUGGGAACAUGGAGCGACCACCCGGGAAAACAGUGCUACCACAAGGGUUUAAUGGGACGCCCUUGGAUGAUUAACUAGGAAAGCUAGUGGAGGUCUUCCUUACCCGAAAGGGGCAAGGGCAGUAGGGGAGUGGUCAGUGUAGGGAGGUCCUUGGGUUGAUUUUGCUGCGAUGGCGGUCAGACAAGAACCCUGCACUGGAGCUUCCUAUAAACUGUAGCGGGAUUUCUGAAGCUAGUGGAACUUUGUAAAGGCCUCGUAGUGUUAUCCUGCCUCGCCUCCUCGGUAGAGGUGUAUGGGAUUGGCCAUCUCUUGGCAGAUGGGUAACAUGACUUGUGGGUAAAGAUGCGCAACCUCUGCAGAGUGUAAAACUGGUAUACUAGCCGUGCUCACGGUCAUGAGCGGCUCGGACCCUCACAUGAUUAAAUAUGGAACUUAAAUUUAAUUUGACAUUUGCAUCACAUUUGGGAUUAUUUUACUAUUACUGUUCUUUAUUAUUAUUAAGGUUUGGUAUUUACUUACACUUAGUAAUUGCUAAUAAAAUUUUGACCAACUUCUAAAAGCAAUGCUCAGCCUCAGCCUUUACUUCAUUGAUUAGCCUUACACUUCAUGAACUCCCACCUUUUGUGAGUUCAUGCCACAUUAUUCCCCACAACUUGUUGAGCGAUGAACGUAUGUGAGCUCACUCUUGCUGUCUCACACCCCCCCACAGGAGAAGAACAGGUGGUUCAGGAGGAGCCACAAGGCGAGGAGUAUGAUCUGAUCUAGGUGGUGUUUCUCAGUCGACAUUGGCGCCGACGAUCCUUAGUUCGUUUUAUAUUUACUCUUUUAUUUUGUAAUAAGACUUCCGCUAUGUAAUAAAUACUCUGAUGAUUGUGACAUUUAUCUCUAUACACUCUGUGAUUAUAUAUGUUGUCUUCUUUGGCGCAUGUAUGAGAUGCACCCGGCUUUGUCCUUUAAAACCGGGUGUUACAGAAGUGGUAUCAGAGGAAAUGUUGACUGUAGGACGAAACCUAGAUAGAAAUGGACAACCCUUACCUACUUAUCUUAUUCUGAUUCAUUCUACACUUACCUUACUCUGAUUCUUUCUACACUUACCUUGAUCCUGUCUCACCUUCUACUGUUCUACUCUGAUCAUUCUUACCUUUUCUAUUCUAAGACAAGAUGGAUUUCACACCUUGGAAUCCCUACCCCUAUGACAUUUUUAAGAGAUAGGAGACCUAAAAAAAUUUUAUUUUCUCUAUUAAAAAUGUUGGUUGAUUGUUCUGCUGAUCAAUGCCUGAUUUGCUUCUUUGAUUGAUUGAAGUAUUAUAUAUGGACAUCUUAGUAUGUGCCAGCAUAAGGUAAUAAAUUAGCUAUGGUAGGUAAAACAUUAAACUGCUUAGCUAAUAAAUCCCCCAAAGUAACAUGAUUGUAAUUACUCGCCUUGUCUACAAUUCUUCCUUUCUUACCCUAUAUUCCUAACCCAAAUGUGCUACCCCUAUACUGUUAGAAGAGAGCAGUAUAGAUUUGAUCCUUGGUAUGUCAUGGUUAAGAAAGGCAAAGCAGUAUAUACACUGUGCUAAGGGAACCGUAGAACUCACCAGUUCCAAAGAACAAAGAUUUGAAGUUGAGUUGGUCAUUGAUCUCUUACCUGAAACUGCUCCUAUUUCUAAACGGCUAUACAGAAUGUCCGUAGAAGAAUUAAAAGAACUUAAGAAGCAGUUAACUGAGUUACAGGAGGCGGGGUACAUUCGUCCGAGUUCCUCACCUUGGGGAGCACCGGUUCUGUUUGUACAGAAGAAGGAUGGAUCAAAAAAAAUGUGUGUGGAUUAUAGAUCUCUCAACGAUGUUACUGUGAAGAAUAAGUAUUCGUUGCCCCGUAUUGAGGAUUUAUUUGAUCAGAUGAGAGGUGCAAGGGUAUUCUCGAAGAUUGAUCUCCGAUCGGGUUAUUAUCAAAUGAAGAUUAGGCCAUCGGAUAUUCCCAAGACGGAUUCCUCGACCCGAUGUGGUUUAUAGGAGUUCACCGUUAUGUCAUUUGGAUUAACUAAUGCACCAGGCUAUUUUAUGGAUCUGAAGAAUAAGGUGUUUAUGGAGAAUUUGGACAGAUUCGUCGUGGUAUUCAUCGACGAUAUUAUUAUUUAUUCCAAGAGUGAUAGUGAUCAUGAGGAACAUCCGAGAUUGGUGCUACAAAAGCUACGAGAUAAUCAACUCUACACCGAGUAUAGCAAAUGCGAGUUUUGGAUCGGUGAGGUACCAUUCCUUACAUGUCAUUUCUAAUGGAGGAAUAUCAGUGGAUCCUGCUAAAGUCAAGGAGAUAGUGGCGUGGAGCAUACCCACUAUAGUUACUGAGGUCCGGAGUUUCUUGGGGCUUGCAGGCUAUUAUCGGAGAUUUAUUGAAGGGUUCUCUAAGAUUGCCAAGCCUAUGACCUCACUUUUGGAGAAAGGAAGAGAAUUCAAGUGGAAUGAGAAAUGCCAAGAUAGCUUUGAUCAAUUAAAGAAGAGGUUGAUGUCAUCACAAGUGUUGGUUAUGCCAGAUCUACAGAAGGGAUUUGACAUUUAAUGUGAUGCAUGUGGCCAAGGCUUGGAAUGUGUGCUCAUGCAAGAAGGACAUGUGAUUGCCUACGUGUCUCGUCGGUUGCGGAAACACGAGUUGAACUACCCCACUCAAGACUUAGAACUGGCAGUCAUUGUGCAUGCGCUUAAGAUUUGGAGACAUUAUAUUAUGGGAACCGAGUGUCAAGUAUACACGAAUCAUAAGAGUUUGAAGUAUAUAUUCACUCAAAAGGAUCUCAACCUUAGGCAACACCGUUGGUUGGAGCUUAUUAAGGAUUAUGAUUUGGAGAUUCACUAUCACCCGGGCAAGGCAAAUUUGGUUGGAGAUGCCUUGAGUCGAAAGGAGCAUGUUCAUUCGGCUGUUGUUGCCCAGCUACCCGAUGAGAUUGUUGAGGAUUUUAGGAGACUUAACCUGGGGAUAGUAACUGCUCACACUGAAGAAGUUAUAUUGAUGUGGAACCUACCUUGGAGCAAGAAAUCCACAGAAGGACAGAUUGAUGAUGCUAAGAUACAAGAGAUUAAGGAUUUGAUUACUGAAGGUCGAGGUCCGGAAUUCACGAAGGAUGAGCAAGGCACAAUAUGGUUCAAGGAUAGGAUAUGUGUGGCUGAUAUUGAAAGCCUUCGUGAGACUAUUUUAAAGGAGGCCCAUGACUUGGAUUAUUCUAUUCAUCCUGGUAGUACUAAGAUGUAUCAGGAUUUGAGGCAGAAGUACUGAUGGUAUGAAUUGGAGAGAUAUGUGGCUACACAUGUGGCUAUGUGCGAUGUGUCAAAGAGUUAAGGCUGAACACCAAAGGCCAGCUGGACUAUUGCAUCCACUGAAGAUACCCGAGUGGAAAUGGGAAGAGAUCGGUAUGGAUUUUAUUACUGGAUUGCCUCGCACACAGAAAGGAUAUGAUGCUAUAUGGGUGAUUGUGGAUAGAUUGACUAAAGUGGCUCACUUUAUUCCUGUCAAGACUACUUAUAAGGUAUCUCAAUCGGCAGAGUUAUAUAUCGCUCGGAUUGUGUCUCUACACGAUGUACCAAAGAAGAUCGUUUUGGAUAGAGGAUCACAAUUUACCUCAAGAUUUUGGAAAAGUUUUCAAGAGAAUGUGGAUACGAAGUUGAAUGUUAGUUCGGCCUACCUCAGACUGAAAGGACUAAUCAAGUAUUGGAAGACAUGUUGAGAGCUUGUGCUCUUCAGCAUGGUAGUAGUUGGGACAAGAGUCUACUUUAUGCUGAGUUCUCAUAUAAUAAUAGUUACCAGGCUAGUCUAAAAGAUGUCACUGUUCGAGACUCUGUAUGGCAAGAAAUGCAGGACUCCUCUAUUUUUGGACCAGACUAGAGGAAGACAAUUCUUUGGGCCUGAACCUAUUCAAGAGGCAGAAAAAAAAACCAAGUCCGUAUAAUUCGGGAGAACUUGAGGGUAGCUCAAACCAGGAAAGAGAGCUAUGCUGAUAAUAGAAGGAGACCAUUGGAAUUUGAGGAAGGUGAUCCUGUGUACCUCAAGGUGUCACCACUUCGUGGAAUGAGGAGAUUUAAAGUUAAGGGCAAAUUGUCCCCUCGCUAUAUUGGACCAUUCAGAGUUUUUAGGCAAGUUGGAGAGAUGGCCUAUCAACUCGAGCUACCUGAUAAUCUAUCUGAUGUGCAUAAUGUGUUCCAUGUGUCUCAACUUAAGAAGUGUCUUCGUGUCCCUGAGGAACAGUUACCAAUGGAAGAGCUCAGCGUUCAUGGUGAUUUGAUUUAUACGGAGUAUCAUGUCAAGAUUAUUGAUACUUUGACACGAGUUACAUGAAAUAAGGUGAUAAAGAUGUGCCAAGUGCAAUGGAGUCACCACGGGGAAGAUAAAGCUACGUGGGAGAGAGAAGAAGAGCUUCGCAUAGAUUUUCCCCAUCUUUUCCCUAGUCCUUCCUAAAUCUCGAGGACGAGAUUCUUUGUAAGGGGGGUAGGAUUUGUAAUAUCCACUUUUGUAAUCAGAGUAUAAAGAAAAUUAUAUUCCUGUAUACAUAUGUGUGUCAUCCAAGUUUAUCAUUUCAUGAGCACAUCACAUAUAACAAACAACUAAAUGACAAAAGGCACUUAAAUAAAAUAUACAUCAUGCUGGGAUUUAUUGUGUGUGUGCAUUUGGUGACAUAAAUAAAUCAACAUUCAAAUUGAGGAUUUAAUACCUACUUUGAAUAAAUAGAAUAGAAGGAGAGAAAUACUAUAAAAUACAAAAUAAAACUUAUAAAAAAAUCAUAUUGGCAAGUUCAAAUUUAAACCUAACCCAAGGAAAAAUUUUCCACAAAAAGAAUUUCUUUUAGAAUUAAAGUUUUUGAAUUUGGAAAGGAAUGAAAGAAUAACAAAUAAAAAAAAAGAAAGCAGUCUUCGGCCGAGUGGGCCUCUAUUCCAUGCUUUCGGCCCAUCUUCGGAUCCAGCUCACGUAGCCCAACUCCAUUUUGCCACCAAACAUCUCCACCGCGCGACCUGCUUCUCUUUUGGGCAUGCGGACCUCGCAACUCAGUCUCCUGGCGCGCGCAUAGUACCAUUACCAUUUCACUGACAGGUAGGCCCAUCUGCUCAGCUUCGUCAACAAACUCGCGGAGGAAGCGCGGUCUGGUGCGAUCUCGCCGGAAUCCGUUGACUGGCUUCGGACCGAGCUCGGCCCUUGGUGGUAUAAAAAAAAGAAGACGUUCUCGCCAGCCUAGCUCUAUCCUACACGCGCGCGCGCCGCAUCCAUUUCCCAUGCCGCUGACGAAUGGGUCUGCGCUGGCAGGCUUCGUCCCCAACUGAUUUUCGCCAUCCGCGCGCGGGUAUGGUCAAGAUCCGCUCGACCGGUCUUCUCCAUGCUCGCAUUGGGGUGAAGCUAAUCCCGCAUCCAUCGCGGGCUCAACUGGUCAGCGCAACAGAUGACGCCGAUCCCGCGCUGGCCGUCGUGGCUUCCGCUGCGGACCAACUACCUGAACCGCGUAUCGCUGCAGCGAAGUCCGCCCCAGCAACAGCUCUUCUUCUCAGCCGGAAGAUUAGGCCAGGUUGUUGGGUCGCCCGGCAAUCGCGCUAACCACAGCUACACCUCGUCGCAGCUUCAAAAGCGGACAGGCCCCUGGUUCUUCCCCAAGUCGCGCGCACCUAGCAUCCCUUGGCCACACCAAAUCCGACCCUGAGCCAAACCAGUAAAGUGCUGUGUGUUUGUCACGGACAGCAGUGAGAGAAAGCGAGGAGACAUGGACUGGGGGAAGCCGCCUCCGUCAUUCAUCGUCCACAAUGCCGAUGGGGCCUGGGGUCAAUUGCUUGCUGGUGAUGAUGCUUCGUCGGGGGACCGCACCGAUCCGCAGAUGGGGUAUCGCCGCGCUAUGCACUGGUAUUCUCCCUUCUUGUUCGUGCCCCACAUUUCGCCCUCGUUUGCCCUCGGUAAUGCUCGGAUCCGGCCCUUGAAGCUCAGAUGGGCACGUCACCGGCGGAGCCAUGGCCACAUCACCUUGAAGCUUCUUCGGCCACUGCGAACUCGCCCUCUGUUCUCCUGGCCAUGGAAUUUGUGAUCGAUGACCUGUCCACCGUCGCGCGUGGGUGGUUCGCUGAACUCCAUAGGCGGGUCCAAACCCAACGCCGUCUCCAUCUGCGCCUCCCUCGCCAACGUGUUCGCCGACUUCGACCACUGGAUCCGCCCUCAAAAGGUGAGAGAUCCUCCUUCAUGUCCGCCAGGCUUCCCACGUCGUGUAGCACUCGUCGCGUUAGGAUUUAUG
rnacentral:lncRNA from 1 species